rnacentral:lncRNA from 1 species
UAUAUAUAUAUUCCUAGCCCUCAACACCUGAGACGUGAUUUUUUUAUUACCAUUCUCUCCAUGCAAGGAUGCAAGUUCCAUGAGGUCACUAAGUGAUUAUUGGCUCCCCAGAGUCUAGAAGUCUAGCACAGUAGACCAUCAAAUUAAAUGAAUGAAGGAAGGAAGAAAGGAAUCAUCUCCUUCUCUUAGAAGGCUUUUCUGCCCUCUGCCUCUCCUCAUUUAUCCAAGAUACUUCAACAACAGAGGAAAGCUUUCCCUAAGAUCAGCACUUGGGGGUGGGAGUGGCCAGGGUCAGAUGUGGCAGUGGCAAGGGUAUUGCCUACAACACACACCUACACGCUGA